rnacentral:rRNA from 1 species
GACGGAGGAUGCAAGUGUUAUCCGGAAUCACUGGGCGUAAAGCGUCUGUAGGUGGUUUAAAAAAGUCCACUGUUAAAAAUUGAAGCUUAACUUCAAAGAUGCCGUGGAAACUUUUAAACUUGAGUAUGGUAGGGGUAGAGGGAAUUUCCAGUGGAGCGGUGAAAUGCGUAGAUAUUGGAAAGACCACCAAUGGCGAAGGCGACUCUUUGGCCUGUAACUGACGCUGAGGCGCGAAAGCGUGGGGAGCAAACAGG